rnacentral:rRNA from 1 species
AGUGAACGCUGGCGGUAGGCCUAACACAUGCAAGUCGAACGGCAGCACAGUAAGAGCUUGCUCUUACGGGUGGCGAGUGGCGGACGGGUGAGGAAUACAUCGGAAUCUACUUUUUCGUGGGGGAUAACAUAGGGAAACUUACGCUAAUACCGCAUACGACCUACGGGUGAAAGCAGGGGAUCUUCGGACCUUGCGCGAUUGAAUGAGCCGAUGUCGGAUUAGCUAGUUGGCGGGGUAAAGGCCCACCAAGGCGACGAUCCGUAGCUGGUCUGAGAGGAUGAUCAGCCACACUGGAAGUGAGACACGGUCCAGACUCCUACGGGAGGCAGCAGUGGGGAAUAUUGGACAAUGGGCGCAAGCCUGAUCCAGCCAUACCGCGUGGGUGAAGAAGGCCUUCGGGUUGUAAAGCCCUUUUGUUGGGAAAGAAAAGCAGCAGGUUAAUACCCCGCUGUUCUGACGGUACCCAAAGAAUAAGCACCGGCUAACUUCGUG